UGGCUUGAACUCCCCGUUCCCCGCCCCUAUAUUGCCCUUGUUCGGGUUCGCUCGGACUAUGGUGAUAAACGCACCUGUAAUAAACGGCUCGGACCCGGGGGCGGUACCCGGCGACUCCACCAUUCCACCCGCUCAUUUCGGGGGUUCGGGGUCGAAAUAGGAUCGACGAACGUCUAAAGAGGCCAGCUUUUGCUCGGUGAGGUACCACCGUUAUCGGUCCGAAACGUACAGUUGCAAAUGACAACCGUGCUCCGAUGGCGAUGGCCGCGUAAGCGACCGGAACUAUCGAAAACUAAGCCCUUGCGCCUAGCAGCGUAAGGCGGGGCCCGGAGGAGCCUGGCAACAGAAUCCUCCACU
rfam:Pseudorhodobacter antarcticus strain CGMCC 1.10836 genome assembly, contig: Ga0079835_1006